CCUACGGGUGGCUGCAGUGGGGAAUAUUGGGCAAUGGGCGCAAGCCUGACCCAGCAACGCCGCGUGAAGGAAGAAGGCUUUCGGGUUGUAAACUUCUUUUCUCAGGGACGAAGCAAGUGACGGUACCUGAGGAAUAAGCCACGGCUACCUACGGGCCAGCAGCCGCGGUAAUACGUAGGUGGGAAGCGUUAUCCGGAUUUACUGCGUGUAAAGGGCGUGUAGGCGGGAAAGCAAGUCAGAUGUGAAAACCAUGGGCUCAACCUGUGGCCUGAAUUUGAAACUGUUUUUCUUGAGUACUGGAGAGGCAGACGGAAUUCCUAGUGUAGCGGUGAAAUGCGUAGAUAGCAGGAGGAACACCGGUGGCGAAGGCGGCCUGCUGGACUGCAACUGACGUUGAGGCCCGAACGCGUGGGGAGCAAACAGGAUUAGAUACCCCAGUAGUC
rnacentral:rRNA from 1 species